rnacentral:lncRNA from 1 species
GUCAUUGAUACAAAAUAAACUUACUCGUUUUCGGCUUGAAUUUCGCUAUUAUUUUCCUGAACGAUUCCACGUCGUUUGUCCUUAUAGACUGAACUAGCUCUUGCUCUUUUCCCAUUGUCUUUCAUUCCCCAGUUUCUCGAUAUUUUCGGCAGACAAUUGCUGUUCAAAUAGUCAUCAGACAUUCAUAAUUAGAUCUCUUGCGAUAGGGUUAAGCCGACCGCUACUGCUAUCAAUUCAUUCUGUCAAAAUCGAGCCCCCAUCCUUCUGCAGCCGUUUAUGUGGACAUCCACUAAAUUUACAAGCAUAUAGGCUUCUUCUAGUCUAUUGUUCAGUCUCAGAUACGAUACAAAGGCUGUCAAAUCACCCAAAACAACAACAUAUGACUGACAACUCUACUAGCCCAAAGCUUCGCGUUCG